rnacentral:rRNA from 1 species
UUAAGCGUUGAUAUUUGAGUGACCGUACCGCAAACCGACACUGGUAGGUGGGUAGAAUAUACCAAGGGGAGCGAGAGAACCCUCGUUAAGGAAUUAGGCAAAUUUCCCCCGUACGUUCGCAAUAAGGGGGGCCUCUGGUGGUGAGCUUAAUCGCAAAGCUGCUGGAGGCCGCAGAGAAAUGGCUCUUCCAACUGUUUAACUAAAACACAGGUCUCUGUUAAGUCGAAAGACGAAGUAUAGGGGCUGACGCCUGCCCAGUGCUGGAAGGUUAAGGGGAGAGGUUAGGCGCAAGCCGAAGCUUUGAGCCGAAGCCCCAGUGAACGGCGGCCGUAACUAUAACGGUCCUAAGGUAGCGAAAUUCCUUGUCGGGUAAGGUCCGACCCGCACGAAUGGCGUAAUGAGAGGAGCACUGUCUCAACGAGGGACUCGGCGAACAUUGAAGGACGUGUGAAGAUACACGUGACCCGCAGCGGGACAAAAAGACCCCGUGAAGCUUUACUACAACUUGCCAUUGAGUUAGGGCUAAACCUGUGUAGUAUAGGUGGGAGGCUUUGAAGCUGGGACGCCAGUCUCGGUGGAGCCACCGUUGAAAUACCACCCUGGUUUAUUCUUGGCUCUAACCUGUCGCCGUUAUCCGGCAUGGGAACAGUGGCUGGUGGGUAGUUUGACUGGGGCGGUCGCCUCCGAAAGCGUAACAGAGGCGCCCAAAGGUUCCCUCAGGCUGAAUGGAAACCAGCCGUUGAGUGUAAAGGCACAAGGGAGCUUGACUGCAAGACCAACAAGUCGCGCAGGGACGAAAGUCGGGCUUAGUGAUCCCACGGUUCAGAGUGGAAUGGCCGUGGCUUACCGGAUAAAAGCUACUCCGGGGAUAACAGGGUAGUCUGGUCCAAGAGUUCAUAUCGACGACCAGGUUCGCCACCUCGAUGUCGGCUCAUCACAUCCUGGGGCUGGAUAAGGUCCCAAGGGUUGGGCUGUUCGCCCAUUAAAGUGGUACGUGAGCUGGGUUCAGACCGUCGUGAGACAGGUCGGUCUCUAUCCGCUGUGGGCGUAAGGGAUUUGAGAGAAGCUGCCCCUAGUACGAGAGGACCGGGGUGGACGGACCUCUAGUGUGCCAGUUGUUCUGCCAAGAGCAUUGCUGGGUAGCUACGUCCGGCAGAGAUAACCGCUGAAAGCAUCUAAGUGGGAAACUCGUCUCAAGAUUAGAUCCCUCAUCCGUAUGGAGUAAGACCGCUAGAAGACUACUAGUUUGAUAGGCGGCAGGUGUAAGCGCAGUAAUGUGUUCAGCUUAGCCGUACUAAUGGUCGAGGGCUUACGUUU